UUUUAUUUUUAACAGAUAAAGCCUCCCUAGCAUAUCGUCUUCUUCUCGGCCAUGAAUGAUUUUCAGGUACCCUAACUGCUACUAUUACCAGAUAGAACCUCCCUAAAAUAUUGUCAUCUUGAGUCCAUGAAUGGAAUCCGAGGAUUUGCAAACGUGAAAGGUGCAGAUUCAAUCUGGACAGGUUGGAGUUUGUUCUGUAAGGCUUGAUUUGCACAUUCGUUGUUCCUCCGAAAGGAAAUUUGAGCAAUUUGAGACAAAUCCCUACUACCUAUGCUGCGAAAUGAAAUUUGGGCAACUUUAGACAAAUUUGACUACCUACACUGCGAAAAUGCAAACGUGGAAGGUGCAGAUUCAAUCCGAAGAGCUUGGAGUGCAUUCAGUAGGGCUCGAAUUGCACGUUCACCAUUCCUUGCAUCAUUCCAGAAAGGAAAUUUGCGCAACUUUACACAAAUCUGACUACCUACGCUGCGGAAAAGGUAAUGUUUUUGAGAUUUCAGAUGGGCAGCGAAAGAGAGUUUAACUAAAUAGAGAAAGCGCGGGCCAGACGUUUGAAUUUACCAAGCCGAGGAGGGGUUUGAUUGAAAAACCGCAUGAGCUUUCCAAUAUGUGUCAUGCGGAUGUCGGGCUUAUCAUUUUUUCUGCAACGGGGAAGCUAUUCCAGUACUCCAAUUUAGGUAUUAUUUCUCGUGCCUUUCAAAAAAAAAAAAAAAGGAGUUCAUUACAUAAAAGUAAGUUCGUAUGUAGGGGAAAGGAUUCAGUAGUUGAACAUAUUUCAAUUCUUGUGAUAGAAGUUGUUGAUUUAAUACCUCCACUUGUUGAUUUAAUGUCCAAUUUGUAUAUAA